UACGUAGGGUGCAAGCGUUAAUCGGAAUUACUGGGCGUAAAGCGUGCGCAGGCGGUUUUGUAAGUUUGUCGUGAAAGCCCCGGGCUCAACCUGGGAAUGGCGAUGAAGACUGCAAGGCUUGAAUCUGGCAGAGGGGGGUAGAAUUCCACGUGUAGCAGUGAAAUGCGUAGAUAUGUGGAGGAAUACCGAUGGCGAAGGCAGCCCCCUGGGAUAACACUGACGCUCAUGCACGAAAGCGUGGGGAGCAAACAGG
rnacentral:rRNA from 1 species